AUGCUUACGCGCGCUCAGUGGCAGACAAUGGUUUCCAAAGAGAACAAUUUCGACAAGGCGUCCGGUAGCGGCAGAAAGUACCGUCCCGCAAAGGACAUCGACGAUCAGUCGAAGAAGCCAAAGAAGAAAAAGUUCGACAAGAGGAAGAUCCGCUGCCACAACUGUAAUCUGCUCGGGCACUUCAAGUCGGAGUGUAAGAAUCCCCCGAAGGAGAAUGCCCUCAUGGCCCAGCAAGGAGAUGAAAGUGACAUGAUGUUGAUGUGUGAACUCGUGGACAAGGACGAUCCAGUUCUUCAAGUGUCGGCUAAAGAAAUUGUCGUGCUCUGUAAAGAAAAAGUUCACUCUCAAGAUCAUGGUUCAGAAACUCAUGUCGAUGCUACGGACGCGGGGGGUGAUUCCGAAACCUACAUCGAUGUUAAGGGCAUAAGCGCUAAUUUCACUGAAGCGGAUGAAGCAAUUACCGCGUGUGCUCGGCCAUGGAGAAGCAGUCUUUAUACGACGUGUACACAAGAUAAAUCGGCAUACAUGACGCCUGAAGUCCAUGAAGCAUAG
rnacentral:rRNA from 1 species